GGAAGUAAAAGUCGUAACAAGGUCUCCGUUGGUGAACCAGCGGAGGGAUCAUUACUGAGUUUACGCUCUACAACCCUUUGUGAACAUACCUAUAACUGUUGCUUCGGCGGGUAGGGUCUCCGUGACCCUCCCGGCCUCCCGCCCCCGGGCGGGUCGGCGCCCGCCGGAGGAUAACCAAACUCUGAUUUAACGACGUUUCUUCUGAGUGGUACAAGCAAAUAAUCAAAACUUUUAACAACGGAUCUCUUGGUUCUGGCAUCGAUGAAGAACGCAGCGAAAUGCGAUAAGUAAUGUGAAUUGCAGAAUUCAGUGAAUCAUCGAAUCUUUGAACGCACAUUGCGCCCGCCAGCAUUCUGGCGGGCAUGCCUGUUCGAGCGUCAUUUCAACCCUCAAGCUCUGCUUGGUGUUGGGGCCCUACAGCUGAUGUAGGCCCUCAAAGGUAGUGGCGGACCCUCCCGGAGCCUCCUUUGCGUAGUAACUUUACGUCUCGCACUGGGAUCCGGAGGGACUCUUGCCGUAAAACCCCCCAAUUUUCCAAAGGUUGACCUCGGAUCAGGUAGGAAUACCCGCUGAACUUAAGCAUAUCAAUAAGCGGAGGA
rnacentral:rRNA from 1 species